rnacentral:rRNA from 1 species
AUGAACGCUAGCGGGAGGCCUAACACAUGCACGCCGAGCGGUAGAGUCUCUUCGGAGACUUGAGAGCGGCGCACGGGUGCGGAACACGUGUGCAACCUGCCUUUAUCUGGGGGAUAGCCUUUCGAAAGGAAGAUUAAUACCCCAUAAUAUACUGGAUGGCAUCAUCUGGUAUUGAAAACUCCGGUGGAUAGAGAUGGGCACGCGCAAGAUUAGAUAGUUGGUGAGGUAACGGCUCACCAAGUCAGCGAUCUUUAGGGGGCCUGAGAGGGUGAUCCCCCACACUGGUACUGAGACACGGACCAGACUCCUACGGGAGGCAGCAGUGAGGAAUAUUGGACAAUGGGUGAGAGCCUGAUCCAGCCAUCCCGCGUGAAGGACGACGGCCCUAUGGGUUGUAAACUUCUUUUGUAUAGGGAUAAACCUAGAUACGUGUAUCUAGCUGAAGGUACUAUACGAAUAAGCACCGGCUAACUCCGUG